GAUGUACUCCCUCCGUUCGGAAUUACUUGUCACAGAAAUGGAUGUAUCUAGAUGUAUUUUAGUUCUAGAUACAUCCAUUUCCGAGACAAGUAAUUCUGAACGGAGGGAGUACAUA
rfam:Triticum aestivum genome assembly, contig: Triticum_aestivum_CS42_TGACv1_scaffold_554106_6DS